rnacentral:snRNA from 1 species
CUUGACGCUUCUUUGGAGC